GUCUUGAUACUCAUAGCGUAGUGGACCCACUCCAAUCCAUCCCGAACUUGGUUGUUAAACACUACAGCGGCGAUGAUACUUAAGAGGAAGCUUUUUGGGAAAGUAGCUCAGUAUCAGGACUCUAGACAAUUAAUUUUUUUA
rnacentral:rRNA from 1 species